rnacentral:rRNA from 1 species
CGAAGAACCUUACCUAGGCUUGACCAUCCCGGGAACUCCUGAUGAAAGUCGGGAGUGCCCCGCAAGGGGAGCCCGGAGACAGGUGCUGCAUGGCUGUCGUCAGCUCGUGUCGUGAGAUGUUGGGUUAAGUCCCGCAACGAGCGCAACCCUCGCCUUUAGUUGCCAGCAUUUAGUUGGGCACUCUAAAGGGACUGCCGGUGUUAAACCGGAGGAAGGUGGGGAUGACGUCAAGUCCUCAUGGCCUUUAUGCCUAGGGCUACACACGUGCUACAAUGGGCGGUACAAAGGGUUGCAAUCCCGCGAGGGGGAGCCAAUCCCAAAAAGCCGUUCUCAGUUCGGAUUGGAGUCUGCAACUCGACUCCAUGAAGUUGGAAUCGCUAGUAAUCGUGGAUCAGCAUGCCACGGUGAAUACGUUCCCGGGCCUU